UGCCAGCCGCCGCGGUAAUACGGAGGGUGCAAGCAUUAAUCGGAUUUAUUGGGCGUAAAGAGCGUGUAGGCUGAGAUGAAAGUCAGAUGUGAAAUCCCGGAGCUCAACCCCGGACGUGCAUUUGAAACAGUAAGACUUGAGUACGGGAGAGGAAAGCGGAAUUCCUGGUGUAGAGGUGAAAUUCGUAGAUAUCAGGAGGAACACCGGUGGCGAAGGCGGCUUUCUGGACCGAUACUGACGCUGAGGUGCGAAGGCGUGGGGAGCGAACGGGAUUAGAUA
rnacentral:rRNA from 1 species